GCGGCGGACGGGUGAGUGACACGUGGGCAACCUGCCUUGAGGAGGGGGAUAACAGGAUGAAAGUCCUGCGUAAUACCGCAUAACCCGAUGCUGUCGCAUGAUGGCAUCGGCAAAGGAGCAAUCCGCCUCAAGAUGGGCCCGCGGCGCAUUAGCUAGUUGGUGGGGUAACGGCCUACCAAGGCGACGAUGCGUAGCCGACCUGAGAGGGUGAUCGGCCACAUUGGAACUGAGACACGGUCCAGACUCCUACGGGAGGCAGCAGUGGGGAAUAUUGCACAAUGGGCGAAAGCCUGAUGCAGCAACGCCGCGUGAGCGAUGAAGGCCUUCGGGUUGUAAAGCUCUGUCUUCGCUGACGAAACCUGACGGUAAGCGAGGAGGAAGCCACGGCUAACUACGUGCCAGCAGCCGCGGUAAUAC
rnacentral:rRNA from 1 species